rnacentral:rRNA from 1 species
ACGCUCGACACCUACGGGGGCAGCAGUGGGGAAUAUUGCACAAUGGGGGAAACCCUGAUGCAGCGACGCCGCGUGAGCGAAGAAGUAUUUCGGUAUGUAAAGCUCUAUCAGCAGGGAAGAUCAUGACGGUACCUGACUAAGAAGCUCCGGCUAAAUACGUGCCANCAGCCGCGGUAAUCUGAGGCGGGCUGGCAAGGC